rnacentral:pre_miRNA from 1 species
CUAGUACUCCCUCCGUCCGGAAAUACUUGUCGGAGGAAUGGAUGUAUCUAGACAUAUUUUAGUUCUAGAUACAUCCAUUUUUAUGCAUUUCUCCGACAAGUAUUUCCGGACGGAGGGAGUAUUUU